rnacentral:rRNA from 1 species
UAAAUAGUUGCGUUGGUUCCUCCCGGACCACUCCCAUCCUUUAACAGUUUAUUUAGCUUUUUCGCAAGGAAAGGUUAGGUAGAUUGUGGGGUGGAUCAAGUGACGAAAACUCAGUGUGUAUCUUUUGGAAAGGAGGAGGGGAGAGGAGCAAUCCUUUUUCUUCAUGCCUUUCUUCAAUUUACAUGUUGAGCGGUGGAACCAAUGACGAAAGGAACGUAAAAACUUUUUUUCAGCAUACUUCUUAGAGGGACUGCCGGCGCCUAGCCGACGGAAGCCUGAGGCAAUAACAGGUCUGUGAUGCCCUUAGAUGUUCUGGGCCGCACGCGCGCUACACUGACAGAGCCAGCGAGUU